GCCCCGCACUUCCUGAAGCCAGCCCUGCUAGGCAUGUUCUUUAGAUCGCUCUUGGCAUGUCAGUAACUGCCUGGGGCCAUUUUGAGAAACUGUGAAAUGCCUAGGUUUAGCAAGUAGCAAAAAGAACUUGAGCUUAGAGCUUACUAGUCUCUUGUUAACAAGUUGUAAAUUUAAAUCUGAUUGCCCAUGAGCCUUCCAAACACAUACAAACAAGUGUAUGACAUUUUGUAGUGUUCUGAACUGUCAGCUCCUCACCUUGCAAACAAAAGAACUUGGCAAACCACUUAAAUGUUAGGCUGUGGAGCCACUAAGCCCUUGCGAAGCUGCCACUGGAACUCAGAUUUCAGUAGCUAAGUUUAAAGUUGUAAAUGUGCUCUGAUAUUGUUUAUAUAAUUCUGUCAUAUAAGCUAUAUCUGUAUUCAAAAGACCUGUAUAUUUAGGGGAAAAAAGGGAACAAAAAUACAUUGAGAUUUCUGCCUAAACUUGUAUGCUUUAGACUGAUCUUCUCAAACAUUUUGAGAACAUGAGUGAAGAUGAGGGAUAGAGGAAAGGGACUUUACUAACAUAUGGAAGGAGAUCGACUUUCCUUGUGGUCCAUGUGGGGUAGGUGAAAAUGGGUGGGAAAGGGCAUUGUGUUUAACUUACCUUUGUGGACGGGGAGGAAGUGGGAAUGCCUGUGCCUUGAAUCUCACUUGACAGAAGAGGGAGAGUAUAAUUGUUUUUGGUGGGGAGGAGACCAGGUGCUUACCAUCUACAGGCAAGUUUAACCUCUGCAUCUGGAAAUACAACUCCAUAAUUAUCUCCAGAGCAAUGCUAUUACAAUAUGCCUGACCCUGCAAAUGGACAAUUAAACUAGCAAAGAAUAAUGUUCCAGUUUUGUAUGGGCUGUGGGGGUGGGGAGAUGGGGUGGCAGAGGGUCUGGCAGCAACACUUACACUUGUAGCCAAGACAAACAGUUCUGAGGUGUGGCUUUUAGUUCAGAUUGCAUUGUUUCCACAGUUUGGCUGUUUUCAUUUGCUGGACCACUUGACCUAUAACUGGACUUGAGGAUUGUAUUCUCCAUUUCCUGCAGGCAAACCCAGAGAUGUAAGCCCCAAAUCCUGGGGAGGGAGACACUUGUAAUUCUUCCCAGUUAUAGUUCUCACUAACCAGGGGUGGCCUGUUAGAAAUUACAGCUCUCCAUGGGGUUGGAGAAUGAUGAUUAUUUGAAAUGCUGCCUGUGUGCUAGUUUGAUCUGGAAUUUGUCUUCAGUAUUCUAAGGUAGAUGGGUGUGGAAGAGAAAAACACUGAUUCCUUGGUGCCAGUAGAGUUUAGACUGUUCCUGGGAUGUGGCACUGAAAGCAGGCCAGUAGGGCAAGGCUGGUGUUAGGGAAUUUGUUUUUUAAUUUAAAAAAACAAACAAACAAAAGCCUCCAGAGGCAAAAAAGGACUAGAUGGACCUCUACAUAGAUCUGAACUUCACUAAUAGGGCAUGUCUGGCUGCUGCUCUGAUCAGAAAUUGUGGCGGAGGUCUCAAGUGAAACAAGGAAUGUAUUUUGGAGAUACAUACGCUUAGUAUUUCCUCUUUAAAAACAGUUGCUCUCUGAAGAUUAAUAAGGCACUGUUCAGUAAACCAGAGAGCCUAUUUAAUUCAAUUCACUUCCCCUUCUUUGUGGUCACUUUCCAACCUGUCCUGUUACUGUGGAGAGAAGCCCUGUACCCAGUGUUGACAACUUAAAGCUCUUCAUCUGUUCAGAGGCAUUUACGUGAAAAUGUCUAGAGUAUAGUACAGCAGUAAUUUGAUACGGUAAGCCCCAUCUGCUCUAUGAAAAUUGACCCAUUGCUGACAAUUCAGCUCCCCCGAACUGGUGCUGAAUAUGGUUGAAUUCCUAUCCUAAAAAAUAGGACAAAACCAUCUUCAGCAUCCUUGUAUGAAGUGUGAAUGCAAUUUGUUCUUGUACAGAGUUUGUUCCAGUGAUGUUCUGCUUGCUGAUGGAAUAAGGCUGAGGCAAAGCAGAGACCUUUAUCUCUGAAGUUGUUACAAAUGGUUAUUGGAGCAUUCCAUUAACUUUACUGCUAUGCUACCAAAUAUACAAAGAGAAAAUGUGGCGUUUAAAGCUUCCAAAGCAGCUGCUCGGAUUCAGCCUUGUCAUGAAGAUUUCCAAGAGACUGGUCAUGAUUGUCAGGGCAAUUUUAGUAGCUUUAAUACAUUCAUUUGGCUUUUUUUAAAAAGCCUUAUAGAUGUUUUGAAAAAUCUUCAAACAGGAGCAAGGAAUCCAGAUACCAGAUUUAGAAGUUAUCAGGUGGUACACAGCAUGCAAUGGCUUCUUCAUCUGGGAAUGCAAUGCAAUGCAGGAAUGAGCAAGUUCGUAAGUCUGUCUGUCCUCUUACUGCUUUUGAUGUCUGAGAGUUUUAAGAAAUAAGGUAUUUUCUUACUAGGUACACUUAAGAAUACUUACAAUAACUGAAAUGACUUGUCAUAAUUGGUUUCUAUGUGCACUAAUAUUUUCAUCCAAAAUUUUAUGGAUUUCUUACGAAUUGGGUUUACUGCACAAGGUGUAAUAGCUGGAUUGCUAAUAUAUUGGGUCAUGACUCUCUGGAUUUACAGCCAUGCUGUGCUGUCUUUGGGCUGAAGCUGAGUUAUCUGUCUAGAAUCUCAUAUUUUAAUUCCUUAACUACAUAGCAUAUGCACUAGCUUGUUCAAUUUGACAGAUUAUAUUUUUUUUAUUUUUUAAAUCCAUGCUACAUUGCCAAAUGAUCUGCACAGCACUGACUCUGGCUAGUUAUAAUGCAGUUCAACCUUUCCCUUCCCAGCCAUUAAAAAGUGGGGGAGGGAAGAAUCAGUUGCGCAAAUUAGAAAAGAAACAUACUGGUUAAAGGAACACUAGCAGGUCAGAUUUAGCCUCAGACUUGUUUACAUCUGAGGGAAAAAAUAUUACAAAUCCUCAAUUCCUGAGAAAUAGUUCCUUUAUUUUUUUAGAAAUUCCAGUGGAAUCAUUCUUUAAAGACAUUUCUGUGCACGAUUUCCAGCCCAAACACUGAAGUGGUAUUAUAGCAGAGCACCAUCUUUGCUGUAAAGGUUAAGGCCAGCUUUCUGUUUAAAUUCUAAUGUAUGCAAACCCAAGAGUGGAGGUGAGUAGUCUAUCUUCAUUGCCCAAACUGAAUUUCAAAAAGUAAACUUUUCACCCAGUCUGCUAAGUUAAAUCUUAAAAUGCUUUGUUUUAAUAAUCAAAGGUGGAAUAGCUAACAAUCUUCCCAAAUAGUCUUUUAGCUUGCAGUGUCCUCUUCUAAAAAUGUGGCCGUUAUAAGAAUGGGACUGCUAUAUCUCCUGACAUAUCCUGUUGUGAUUUUUAAUUUACUGAGUGUUGGUUACUGACACAUUCAACAUGGUAGUAUUAAAAACCGUUCAGGAGAGGAAACUAAACAAUUUUCUGUGUCAAAGUUACAGCAUGUUCUUAUCAUACUUUGGCUUGAUUUUUGUCUCAAAUUAGGAGAUGCUUAGAUAAUCCCACCGAGUUGCAGUCUUGCCCCAGCUAAGAACAAGAUGACUGCGGUGGUGGUGUCAUGUCCAGUGUGCAGAAGGAGGGACAACAUCAGGCUACAUUGCUUUAGCCCUUAAUUCUGACUAUACUGUGUUUUGUGGACUAGAGCUGUGAUCCUUUUCUACUAUGUGAGAAAAUUCUGAAAGAGCAAUCACUACUCCUCUCAUGGUUCUCUUCCAGGGAAAGAAAUGGAGUCACCGAGACACAACUGUCAAUUUCUGACAUGGCCUACAGCCUGUUCAGCUGUAUCAAAAGCAGCUGGCAAAACUAAAAUAAUGAAUCUGGUCACUUGGUGAAAUUCAUAGACGAGUACAAGCCUUCACAUCAGAGGUGGAGGGAGUCCCACAUCAGAAUAUCUCAUAACCUGGUGGCUAGAGCACUCACCUGAGAGGUGACAGACCCCAGUUCAAAUUUCUUCUUCCCCUCAAGUGGAGCAGGGAUGCUCAAAUGAGGUGUCUCCCACAUCGCUGGGGAGUAUCCUAACAAGUGGGCUAAAAGUUAUGGGCUGUGGUGAUUGCUGCUCCUCACCUAUAGGGGGCCAGUUUUAGUGGGUGAGGUUUGGACACACUUAGUGGAUUGGGUCCUACAGCUGAGUUAGGCACCUACUGCAGUUGGGGGCAGCAGAGUGGGCAUCAGGGUUGUGAAUCCCAAUGAGGUCUGAUUCUGGGAUUUACAUGCCUAAAGUGUCAGGCACCUGAAUCCUUUUGUCAAUCUAACCUCACCUACUUAUUACAGUAGCCUCAUGUAAUGGCUGUAGAAAUCCCUGUUUGAAGUCGAUGGGUUUGUAUGCAGCAACAGUGUGAGGGGAGUUACCUCCAUAGGUGAAUUGUUUAAUUUAUCGUUGUGCAGAGUCUGUUAAGGAAGACUACUGGCAGCUUUUUAAACAGUACAAUAUUUCCAUACUCAGCACUAGCUCUGUGCUUGUAAUUAGCUGUACCUAGCUCCCUUACCAUAUAACUAAAUAAAAGUUAGCUCUUACAUUUUGUACUUUAAACAUAAAAAUGUUUUUCAUUGAACAGCAUUUUAGGUUCAGGCUCCUAAACCAGUUGCAGCCAAUUUGUCCAGAGCAGAGAACUGGUGUGGAAAAUCUGAAAUAGGUAUUAAUGUCAUUACAGCUGGGGUUACUGAGCUUGAAUUGCUGUCUAGCAUUCUCAUUUCUUUCCCCUGCACUAAUGGCCCUGAAGGGGUUUAGAAUGACCAUCUAACCAUUCCACUUGAUCUGUGUGUGGGGGUGUCUUUCUCUGAGGGCUGUCUCACCAUUGCCACCCCUGGUUUUCUUUGUCAGCAGAUCUUGGAGGCAAGAUUUCAGUCCACCGAAACCUGAGAGAUCAUUUUCAGUACUGGUUUUAACUGCAGUGCUUAGCUCAUCAGGCUGGUGCUAAAUAUUUCAAAGUGUGGCAGUAACUAACCACGGACAAGCUGUUCUCUUGGUAGCAACACUCUACUCCAUCUGAAAGAGUCCCUGCUGCUUUCCCUCCAACGGAAGUCCCAAGUCCACUGUGAAAGAAUCACAGGGCUGUCAGCCAGUGUUGAGAGAAAACAAAUACCUCUCCUCAAGGUGGGUCAGUGAACUAUCACAAAUUUGGCACACAGAAGAGAUUGCCUAACUCUGUC